rnacentral:rRNA from 1 species
UCGAGUCUUUGAACGCAAGUUGCGCCCGAGGCCAACCGGCUAAGGGCACGUCCGCCUGGGCGUCAAGCGUUGCGUCACUCCAUGCCAACUCAGACCCACCAUUGGGUGUGCCGGGAUAGGCUUGGAUGUGGAGAAUGGCUCGUCGUGCUCAUCGGCGCG